rnacentral:rRNA from 1 species
CUAGCUAUAGGCUUAACACAUGCAAGUCCCUGGGCAGCAUCAUCAAAGCUUGCUUUGAUGGAUGGCGACCGGCGCACGGGUGAGUAACACGUAUCCAACCUGCCGACAACACUGGGAUAGCCUUUCGAAAGAAAGAUUAAUACCGGAUGGCAUAAUUAUUCCGCAUGGGAUAAUUAUUAAAGAAUUUCGGUUGUCGAUGGGGAUGCGUUCCAUUAGGCAGUUGGCGGGGUAACGGCCCACCAAACCUACGAUGGAUAGGGGUUCUGAGAGGAAGGUCCCCCACAUUGGAACUGAGACACGGUCCAAACUCCUACGGGAGGCAGCAGUGAGGAAUAUUGGUCAAUGGACGAGAGUCUGAACCAGCCAAGUAGCGUGAAGGAUGACUGCCCUAUGGGUUGUAAACUUCUUUUAUACGGGAAUAAAGUGAGCCACGUGUGGCUUUUUGUAUGUACCGUAUGAAUAAGGAUCGGCUAACUCCGUGCCAGCAGCCGCGGUAAUACGGAGGAUCCGAGCGUUAUCCGGAUUUAUUGGGUUUAAAGGGAGCGUAGGCGGGUUGUUAAGUCAGUUGUGAAAGUUUGCGGCUCAACCGUAAAAUUGCAGUUGAUACUGGCGACCUUGAGUGCAACAGAGGUAGGCGGAAUUCGUGGUGUAGCGGUGAAAUGCUUAGAUAUCACGAAGAACUCCGAUUGCGAAGGCAGCUUACUGGAUUGUAACUGACGCUGAUGCUCGAAAGUGUGGGUAUCAAACAGGAUUAGAUACCCUGGUAGUCCACACAGUAAACGAUGAAUACUCGCUGUUGGCGAUAUACAGUCAGCGGCCAAGCGAAAGCAUUAAGUAUUCCACCUGGGGAGUACGCCGGCAACGGUGAAACUCAAAGGAAUUGACGGGGGCCCGCACAAGCGGAGGAACAUGUGGUUUAAUUCGAUGAUACGCGAGGAACCUUACCCGGGCUUAAAUUGCAACUGACGGAACCGGAAACGGUUCUUUCUUCGGACAGUUGUGAAGGUGCUGCAUGGUUGUCGUCAGCUCGUGCCGUGAGGUGUCGGCUUAAGUGCCAUAACGAGCGCAACCCUUACGGGUAGUUACCAUCAGGUUAUGCUGGGGACUCUACCCGGACUGCCGUCGUAAGAUGUGAGGAAGGUGGGGAUGACGUCAAAUCAGCACGGCCCUUACGUCCGGGGCUACACACGUGUUACAAUGGGGGGUACAGAAGGCAGCUACACGGCGACGUGGUGCUAAUCCCAAAAGCCUCUCUCAGUUCGGAUUGGAGUCUGCAACCCGACUCCAUGAAGCUGGAUUCGCUAGUAAUCGCGCAUCAGCCACGGCGCGGUGAAUACGUUCCCGGGCCUUGUACACACCGCCCGUCAAGCCAUGAAAGCCGGGGGUACCAGAAGUACGUAACCGCGAGGAGCGUCCUAGGGUA